AGAUUGAACGCUGGCGGCAGGCCUAACACAUGCAAGUCGAGCGGCAGCACGGGUACUUGUAUCUGGUGGCGAGCGGCGGACGGGUGAGUAAUGCCUAGGAAUCUGCCUAGUGGUGGGGGAUAACGUUCGGAAACGGACGCUAAUACCGCAUACGUCCUACGGGAGAAAGCGGGGGACCUUCGGGCCUCGCGCCAUUAGAUGAGCCUAGGUCGGAUUAGCUAGUUGGUGAGGUAAUGGCUCACCAAGGCGACGAUCCGUAACUGGUCUGAGAGGAUGAUCAGUCACACUGGAACUGAGACACGGUCCAGACUCCUACGGGAGCAGCAGUGGGGAAUAUUGGACAAUGGGCGAAAGCCUGAUCCAGCAUGCCGCGUGUGUGAAGAAAGGUCUUCGGAUUGGUAAAAGCUAACUUUAAGUUAGGGAGGUAAGGGUUAGUAAACUUAAUACGUUUGCUAAUUUAGAACGUUACGACAGAAUAAGCACCGGACUAACUUCGUAGCC
rnacentral:rRNA from 1 species